CCUACGGGAGGCAGCAGUGGGGAAUUUUGGACAAUGGGCGAAAGCCUGAUCCAGCCAUGCCGCGUGAGUGAAGAAGGCCUUCGGGUUGUAAAGCUCUUUCGGGAGAGUUGCGGUACCCAAAGAAGAAGCACCGGCUAACUACGUGCCAGCAGCCGCGGUAAUACGUAGGGUGCAGGCGUUAAUCGGAAUUACUGGGCGUAAAGCGUGCGCAGGCGGUUUGUUAAGACAGAUGUGAAAUCCCCGGGCUUAACCUGGGAACUGCGUUUGUUACUGGCAAGCUAGAGUGUGGCAGAGGGGGGUGGAAUUCCAAGUGUAGCAGUGAAAUGCGUAGAUAUUUGGAGGAACACCGAUGGCGAAGGCAGCCCCCUGGGCUAAACUGACGCUCAUGCACGAAAGCGUGGGGAGCAAACAGGAUUAGAUACCCGAGUAGUC
rnacentral:rRNA from 1 species